GCGAUCGCGUAGCUCGUCGCUCGUAUCUCACCCUUUUCUCGGUAGUGAUAACGUCUCAUGGUGUCUCGCACCGCUGAUCCCCUGGAUACCCCAGGAAUGCGCUAGACCAGAUUGACUGAGGGGACUCAACUCGAGGGCUGCUCUGACCAUGGUCGUCUUCAUUUGGAGAAAGAAAGUAGUCCGACGCAAGAACUUUCCCAUCCACCUUCUGCGUGUUUACACACUGAAGAAGUACAGCGUAUGAUGGGAGCGUGACGACUAAGGGCACGAUGGGAGGUCAGGAGUUGGAGUUCGAGAUCGGCUGAGUGAGCACGAUGUCCCUGUACCGCCCGUACGCUCUACUGGUAGUGACGUGCCUGCUGCCGUGGAUGUUGUUGUGUGCCGUGCGGAACAAAUCACCCCCAACCCUCCCAACACCACCGCCACAACCCUACAAGCAACCCCCUGGCAGGUCCUCCACGGCUGGUGUC